GACGAACGCUGGCGGCGUGCUUAACACAUGCAAGUCGAACGAAAAGAGGGAAAGAGCUUGCUCUUUCCGGAAUUGAGUGGCAAACGGGUGAGUAACACGUAAACAACCUGCCUUCAGGAUGGGGACAACAGACGGAAACGACUGCUAAUACCGAAUAAGUUCCAAGAGCCGCAUGGCCCAUGGAAGAAAAGGUGGCCUCUACCUGUAAGCUAUCGCCUGAAGAGGGGUUUGCGUCUGAUUAGCUGGUUGGAGGGGUAACGGCCCACCAAGGCGACGAUCAGUAGCCGGUCUGAGAGGAUGAACGGCCACACUGGAACUGAGACACGGUCCAGACUCCUACAGGAGGCAGCAGUGGGGAAUCUUCCGCAAUGGGCGAAAGCCUGACGGAGCAACGCCGCGUGAGUGAUGACGGCCUUCGGGUUGUAAAACUCUGUGAUCCGGGACGAAAAGGCAGAGUGCGAAGAACAAACUGCAUUGACGGUACCGGAAAAGCAAGCCACGGCUAACUACGUG
rnacentral:rRNA from 1 species